AAACUGUGUUAUGGGCAUGAACUGAUAAGAUCCUUGAACCUUUCCCAACAUUGGAAGAAUGUUUCAUUAUCCUUUUGGGCAAAGUUCAUAAUUAAUUUUCUAAGGGU